GCAGGGAUGGCGGAGCGGUUUAACGCACCAGCCUUGAGAGCUGGCGUCCGAAAGGACUCGGGAGUUCGAAUCUCCCUCCCUGCG
rnacentral:tRNA from 1 species